rnacentral:rRNA from 1 species
UACGGAGGGUGCAAGCGUUAUCCGGAUUCACUGGGUUUAAAGGGUGCGUAGGCGGGUUGGUAAGUCCGUGGUGAAAUCCCCAAGCUUAACUUGGGAACUGCCUUGGAUACUAUCAAUCUUGAAUAUCGUGGAGGUAAGCGGAAUAUGUCAUGUAGCGGUGAAAUGCUUAGAUAUGACAUAGAACACCAAUUGCGUAGGCAGCUUACUACACGAUCAUUGACGCUGAGGCACGAAAGCGUGGGGAGCAAACAGG